UACGUAGGGUGCAAGCGUUAAUCGGAAUUACUGGGCGUAAAGCGUGCGCAGGCGGUUUUGUAAGUCUGUCGUGAAAUCCCCCGGGCUCAACCUGGGAAUUGCGAUGGAGACUGCAAGGCUAGAAUCUGGCAGAGGGGGGGGUAGAAUUCCACGUGUAGCAGUGAAAUGCGUAGAUAUGUGGAGGAAUACCAAUGGCGAAGGCAGCCCCCCUGGGAUAAUAUUGACGCUCAUGCACGAAAGCGUGGGGAGCAAACAGG
rnacentral:rRNA from 1 species